AUUACCAUGUUAAUAGUGACGGAAGAACAUAUUAUUUAAGAAUAAUCUAGUAUAUAGUAAGCCAAUAUGACCAUAUUUUGUUGUGUACGUGAUUGAAGGGAAUAUUUUGAAAAAAGCAAAUUUAUGAAAAAUGAAUGAUAAUAUAUCUGAUGUGAUGGUAGAUAAAUUCAAGAUACUUAUUUUGUAUGCACUUAGAAAUAUAAAAGUAGCAGAUAUAAGAAAAAUAAUAUUAGAAAAAGCUUUUGGUAAAAAUUAUAUGUCUAGAAUAAGCUAUAUACCACAAAUACCUAACUACUCUUAUAAAUACUUAAGGUGAUAAGUUACAUAAAAAAAAAAAGAUAAAAAAAAAAAACUUUUGCAGUUACUAGAAAAAAUAAAAAUAAACACAUGGAAAAUAAAGAUAUAAAAUUUCUUAAUAAAAAUAUGCAAAAACUACUAAGACUAAAACAAACAGCUACAAAACAAUUUUAAAAA
rnacentral:lncRNA from 1 species